rnacentral:rRNA from 1 species
UACAGAGACCUCAAGCGUUAUCCGGAAUCAUUGGGCGUAAAGCGUACCGAUAGGUGGUUUAGAAAGUCAGAUGUGAAAUUCCAAAGCUCAACCUUGGGACUGUCAUUUGAAACUUCUAAACUAGAGGGGCAAAGAGGAAGCUGGAACGAACGGUGUAGUAGUGAAAUGCGUUGAUAUCGUUCGGAACACCAAUAGCGAAGGCAGGCUUCUGGGUGCCACCUGACACUGCUAGGACGAAAGCGUGGGGAGCGAAUGGG